ACUCCCUUAUUUAUUUGAGAUAAUCGAAAUCUUCUCAUCAGCCUAAUAUUUGAUGCGAGUCCUAUUUGGACGCAAGAUACAACUCCUAUUUUUGGAUUGCGGUGAAGUCUUUGAACCUUUUUUCACCUUUGUCAUGGGUUAACCCGAUAUUGCACUGCCUCCGUGAUCGGCCCACCAUUA
rnacentral:snRNA from 1 species